CGGCGGACGACGGAGGAUGGCGGCCGCAGCCGUCUCCCUCGAGGGUCAUCCUCUUUGGACAUUGCGUCCGCCACCACCUAAUUCAGAUUGCAAUUCAUUAUCAUGCCCUGAGCCUCUAAUAGAUCCACCUGCGGGAGCCCCAUGUGCCUGUGUUCUACCAAUAAGAGUUGGAAUUCGUCUAAGUGUUUACCUUUAUUCAUUCUUUCCUUUUGUUAUUCUGUUACUGAUCAGUGCAUCUUUUGCCCAUCAAAUCUAUUAUUGACAUUCAAUCGCAUAUGCACACAGUGGAGAAUGCAGCAUCAAACAAGUCAUGCACCAUCUCAUUUAUUGAACAUGUUGAAAUUCUGCACCACUAGUUCCCACCAAGAAAUAUGAACUUUAUGCAGGUCUUCCUUCUCCACCACCUUCAGCACCAGAAGGUGUUGGUGAUGGGGCAUUUGGCAACAACAGAAAUGCGAGGGCAAUGAAACCUCUUGGGGUUGAUGUAAGAAGACCCAAGAGAAAAGUGAAUGGCAGCCUAAUCGUUAUUGCUGUUUUGUCUACCGUUAUAGCAUUGAUUAUUUGCUGUCUUGCUGCAUGGUUGCUCAUACUAAGAUUCAGGGGCCCAAGUGACACAGCUCAAGGAUUUCCACAUAGUGUACUUUCGAAAUUUUGUAGGUCAUUUGGCACAGGUCACACGCUUUUAGCUGGUGUUGGUCGCUAUAGUUCACCUUCAGGUCCGUCAGGUUCACUAGGCUAAAGCAUCGCAAUGUACGCAGGGCAGGCAAAAACAUUCAAAUUUGCUGAGAUUGACAAGGCCACAAAUGGCUUUGAUGAUUCAAAAGUACUUGGCGAAGGUGGCUUCGGAUGUGUCUAUCAGGGCACACUUGAAGGUGGAACGACAGUUGCGGUGAAGGUCCUUAAGAGAUACGAAGGCUAGGGUGAGCGAGAGUUCUUGGCUGAGGUUGAGAUGCUGGGACAUUUACACCACCGGAGUUUGGUCAAGUUGUUAGGCUUAGUCUGCAGUCAUAUUGUCCUCGAUGAGAUCGAGCUCACCACCUAGUUGGAAGUCAAGUUCGUGGAGCAGUCCGGAGUGUAAAUAUUUGAUGUUGUAGUUUGUACUUUGUAGUAAUCACAGAUGUACAGAGAUGAUCAAUGUAUCACCUUUUCUUGGGAUAUGAAAUAUAUAUAUGGUUGUUUCAAAUUC